AUUGAACGCUGGCGGCAUGCUUUACACAUGCAAGUCGAACGGUAACAGGUUAAGCUGACGAGUGGCGAACGGGUGAGUAAUGCAUCGGAACGUGCCCGGUCGUGGGGGAUAACACUUCGAAAGAAGUGCUAAUACCGCAUACGAUCUGAGGAUGAAAGCGGGGGACCGUAAGGCCUCGCGCGAUCGGAGCGGCCGAUGUCAGAUUAGGUAGUUGGUGGGGUAAAGGCCUACCAAGCCGACGAUCUGUAGCUGGUCUGAGAGGACGACCAGCCAAACUGGGACUGAGACACGGCCCAGACUCCUACGGGAGGCAGCAGUGGGGAAUUUUGGACAAUGGGCGCAAGCCUGAUCCAGCAAUGCCGCGUGCAGGAAGAAGGCCUUCGGGUUGUAAACUGCUUUUGUACGGAGCGAAAAGGCUCUCUCUAAUACAGGGGGCUGAUGACGGUACCGUAAGAAUAAGCACCGGCUAACUACGUGCCAGCAGCCGCCGUAACAC
rnacentral:rRNA from 1 species